UGGGAUUUGUCAGCUCCAGAUGGCCAGACCGCUACUGCAUAGGGCACAAUACUACUGCGACCUAAUCAGACCUAAUAGUGCUGUGGACACAUGUGGCAUCCAUUUUUCACUAGCGAUUUAAGCAGCUAACUUUUCAAGCUAUAAAUAAAAGCUUUACAUUUAGUCAUAUUUGUCAAAAUAAGCAACUUUAAAACAUACCAACUACAUGAAUGGACGACAGAGAAGUGGAUUAUGCUGCAUGUAAGUUGCAUUUUAGUUUUGAGAAUUGCUAGUGGCGGACUUCCUUCCUUUAAUAUCUGUCAAAGGCCCCAGCAGCCCUCAGGCAGCCAGUAGCCAAUAUGAAUGGAGACCAAUACAGGGGCAUGGUCUGAAAUAGUCCACCGUGUAUUACAGCCCGGAGAGAGGUUUGCUUAAGCCGACUCAGGGUCACUUCAAUUUAGCUUUUUGGCCCCGGGCAUCUGCGAGCUGCACUGCUAAGGUGACGCUGUUAAGGUGGUAGCCCAUGUCUUACCAUGAACAUUUAGCCAACCUGCAGCUGAGAAGCACAUUGUCUUCCUCAGCCGACAAAGAAGUCAUCAGUUCACUUCAAUGAAGAAAAGGCCUUUCUGCUCGAACAAGGCCAUCAAUGUCUCCCUCUCUUUCUUUCACUUUAACACGGAUAUGGUUCUCUGGCUCCCAAUCAAAUGCUCACUUCAUUAGCCCUCUUCUCUUCACUCAUUGGCCCUUGGAAAAGAAGGGCAGAGACACACAGAGGCGGUCAGACUGGCACAAACGCACUCACACACCCAUCGUCCAUUCAACCCCCAAAUACACACACACACACACACUCACUCACAGGCAAGCACACAGAGCAGUUCUGACUUUAAAUAAUGAGAGAGCUGUCACAUCACAUCAGUGUCUGUGCCGCGGCAUGGCUUGGUGGUCAGCAGGACGGACGGGAGUAACUGCUGCCGGCUGACACCCUCUGGACACAUAGGGAAGGAUGAG